AUGAGCAAGGGAUUUAAAGUACCUGAGGGAAAGUUUUACCUAGUUGACGGGGGUUAUGCAAACACUCAGUCAUUUCUCGCACCUUAUCGGGGUGUCCGAUAUCAUUUGAAGGAAUUUGGUCAUGGACAUCCUCGGCCACAAAACCACAAGGAAUUGUUCAAUCAUCGGCAUGCUGUUCUACGGAGCCAUGUGGAAAGGUCCCUAGGAAUUCUUAAAAAGCGCUUCCCAAUUCUUCACGUCGGCACACUGCAUUCAAUCGAGAACCAAGUGAAACUUCCCGCAGUUGCCGUAGUUCUUCACAAUAUCAUCAAAAUGGAGAAUGGUGACGAGACUUGGCUUGACAACCAGCCCGAUAACAUAGCGCCAAAUGCUUUUGUUGAUCUCCCGAAUGGCGACGAGAAUAACUAUGGGAACAACGACUUAGGGAACACUCUAAGGGAUGAAAUCGCAAUGCAAAUGUGGGAAGCAUACCAUCCUGAAUAG
rnacentral:rRNA from 1 species